rnacentral:rRNA from 1 species
UACGUAGGGUGCGAGCGUUGUCCGGAAUUAUUGGGCGUAAAGAGCUCGUAGGCGGUCUGUCGCGUCGAAUGUGAAAACCCGGGGCUCAACUCCGGGCUUGCAUUCGAUACGGGCAGGCUAGAGUUCGGUAGGGGAGUCUGGAAUUCCUGGUGUAGCGGUGAAAUGCGCAGAUAUCAGGAGGAACACCGGUGGCGAAGGCGGCUCUCUGGACGGAUACUGACGCUGAGGCGCGAAAGCGUGGGGAUCAAACAGG